GGAUGAAUGAUUGUAUCUGGCACCUUUACAUUUAGCUUAUACUGAAACAUAUUGGGGCAGAUUCUAGAGCUGCUCUGGUGGUUCAGAGGUGCUGUAAUGAUGGGUUAGAUGUGUCUCUGGAACUGCAGCCUCCAAAGAUUAUGGCAGAUUCCAAGUCACUUAACUCACUAAAUUAUAACUGGCAUACAGGAAUAAGAAACACUUUUUUUUAAUGACAAAGCAGGUCUCAGACUCAUAAUCACCAAUGCUGGGCAUGGUUUGAUUUCUGUACUCUCCAUCUUCUGUUAGCAUUCAAUAUAGAUACAUAUAUAUAUUUGAAAUAGCAAAGCUAGCAUGUUUUGCUGUGACUCCAUAUUCAGACUCAAAGGUUAGGGAGUGUGCUGAGAGAAGUGAUAUUGGUAUAGGCUAUAUCUCUGCCAUAUUUUAUGAAUUUCACUAUAUAAACUUUUUUAAAACCCCAAGGAAAAAGCAAACUCCAUAUUUUUGUAUAUAACCAGCUGCACAUAAUUUAAUAUUAUGUGGGAGGUGACAAGAAACAAUUAACCUAUUUUGAGAAAAUACAGGAAUUUAUAGGAGCAACAUAACUCAUGGAGCAAUAAUUUAAAACUGACCUUCUAAUCCAUUUCAUCAACCCAGAGAUAAACACUGUGGAGUGUUUCAAAUUAUAAAAGAGCCUGCCUUGAUCUAAGUGGGUUGAAGAGUCAGACUAAAAGCAUCUCACAUAAAUUCAAACCACAGUUUGAAUUUUCCUUCUGCAAUACUGAUACAUGAGUAGAAAAGUUCUGGCUGGAAAUUUUUAGAAGGAAAAAUGUGAGUUGAUAAAAAACAAACACUUUUGCAGCAGCUUGUUGAUUUCAGUGCAAUGUUAUUUGGAAUGAAUAACUGAAACACUCCAUUAAAUUUUUUUUGAAUGGUGUAUUACUUUUUUAUCUUUGGGGUUUUUUUGUCGAAGCAUUUCUUCCUCUGUUAGAAAAUUUUGUCUAACAAAAUAGCUCAAAUCAGAACAGUGCAUGUCCAUUAAGCCAAUUUGUCAAUCAUUGUUUUAUAUGAAACUUCAGCUCUUCUUAUUUUCUGUGUGCACUGGAGCAGAAGUAGCCAAUUCCUCCCUGAAGACAGCAAGCCCUGGGUUUCUGAGGUGCCCUGACAGUGAGUGUGGGGUUUCUGCUUGCACUGGCGGCGUUUCCUGACCCCCUGAGAGUUCCUGAAGACUGCAGGUGGCUUAGCUAUGUGCCAGUAUGAUUUACUUUUCCCUGCAAAGACUAACGUACCCAAACAAGCUGGAAAUGUAGUGGUUACUAAACCAGUGGCAAUCGAUGAAACAUAGCAGGUGCCUCUCAAAUAUUCCUUGAAUGGUCCUUGAAACCAUCCAUCAGGCCCUUUCUGAAUUAGGCAAUGGGUGGGUGUGCUAAAUGAGAGACAGAAGCUCAUUGUCUACUGAAGCCUAUCAUAACAUUUUAAUUGCCACUUAAAUCACACUUAACCAAGUGCUGGGAUUUGGGGCAGCAAUCUCAGACUCUUAACCUAUCCUCCUGACCAAAUUAUGAGAUGAAAAACAAGAACUCGCAGAUAUUUCCCUGGAAAGUGUUAAGUAUAAAUAAAGAAUACCAAGAAGGAGAGAAAAUGCUAUCUCUCAAUCACAGGUUAAUAAUUGGCUAAAGAUGUUUGCCUGAGUUGUUGGUAAUGAUAGCCUCUGGCAGAUCAAUACCAGUGGAAUACAUGCUGUCUUGAAAGAAAUACUGAAGGAACACCUUUUCUAGCUCCCCCUGCCCCCCAAAAGAGAGUGACCUGAUAGCAAGAGGCUGUUAAAUGUGAAGUGCAUUCCUUGAGUCUUUUAUUUUCGAGUGGACCAGCCUGAGUACUCCAAGCUUGGUGUUCAAACCCACUCUGUCACUGUUAUUUGGAUGUUGCAGGUGUCAAGCACCCAGAUGUUCAGAAGGAGUGGAGCAGGAUAGGAAGGGAACACACUCUUACACGUUUUAUUUUCCCUGGACCCCUUUGCAGGGCUUUGCCAUGGCGUGUUUCCUUUGUUUGGAGGGAUAUUCCCUGGCACGAGGCUUUCUGCCAAGGCACUUCUGAGUGAAGCUCAGAAGAAAAUGGCCCAUCAGGUCCUGAGUUCCUAUCACUAUCAAUACUCUCCAUAUAAUGGAAGUGACGGCAAGGCUCCUGGAGUAACAGAUGCUCCAUAUGUAUAGACGAAAUUGCAUCAAAGAAACCGCACUGCUCUAGCCCUUCCUCGCAUCCGUGGAGAUUGAGCUAAUUGACGGGAAUGAAAAUAGCUGAACUGUGAAUGUGAGCCAAGGAAGUGUUGGGGGUCCAAGAAAAACUGCUCUUGGCUUAUGUCACUAAACAGCUUAAGUUUCAAUUUUGAAAAUUACUUCAGUUUUACUUAAAUAAUUCUGUCUGCCAAGCAGCCAAUUUGGGGAACUGAUGAAUGACAAUGUCGCCCCAUCUGCACUGAGUGCAAUAUCCAUUUUAUAUGACCUGUAGCAAAAAAGGGAGGAAAGCAUUAUAUUCCCUGCUUCUCCCUGGCACUCUCUAUAAGACUAAAUGGGGAGAGGGUAGAGAAUUAAUAAAAGACUAGUUUGCUCACAUGGGAGAGGAACAAAGGAAACGAUUGCCUCCUGCACUGGAGCUGUGCUGAGUGCAUCACUGCACAGUUUCUUUUAUCUGCAUGCUUUGGGACUGGCACAGCCAUGUGAAACAAGCCUGAUGCUUUUAUUCUAUAUGGGUCUUAUAUAAAGCUGAAAAAACAGCAGAUGAAGUAUGAGAAGCCUCAAGAAACCAGUUGAAACUUCCAACUGAAUGUGAGCUUGCACAAGCAGCCCAGACAAUCCAGCAGCAAGUUAUCACUACACCAUCAUGCCAAAACUCCAGGAGCUCAAAUUAAAAUUAAAAUUUGUUUAAGCCAAAUUUUUCAGAUUCUGAAGUUGCUUUUUUCCAGGUACCAGGAUAAAGCAUAAGCCAGAAUUUUCCAGUCCCAGAGGCUGAAAGUAAAAUAUAGAUUUUUUUUUAGCGAAGUGAGUAAUUUUUACUUAAUUUAUGGGUUACCUGGGCUGUGGUAAUUCUGCUAACCUUCCAGUCAACAUUAUGACCUAAUUUUCUUCUUUCUAUUUUUGUUUUUUCCUCUUCCUGAAGGCAUAAAAAUUUCAACAUCAGCCCACCACCUAGGAGUCCAGACAAAGGCUUAUAACUCAAUGCCUUUCAUCCCAAUCUCUACGUGCGGCCACAGUGUGGGAAACACCAGAGCAUUUCUUUUCUUCUAUGUUCUUUUUGAGAACCAGAGACGGGGCAUUAAAAAAGCAGGUGAUGGUCCUGGUUUUCACAGCGUCGCGUGGGAAUUAUGUCGGAGAGGCAGCCUUGCACUGCUACGUCUCAAGGUUCUCACUCAGGCAACUGGGAGUUUUAUGAGCAAGGAUGGAGAGAGGACUUCAGGAAUUGGCCCCUGGUGAAGAAUCUUAUACGACAUGAGCAUUGUGCUGCAUGCACAGCCAAGGGCCCGCAGAGAGCUGUCUGAAACAGCAAUAGACACAAGGAUUUACGACAAGAAGCAGCAAUUGCAAUAUCUGGCGCUAAACAUUUAAUCUAUGGUUACAGUUUUUACUUCAGAUCAGAGCUGAAGUCAGCAGAAUUAAAUCUUCAAGUGUAUUUCAGCAGCCCUAAAUCCUUCUGAUACUGUUAACAGUGGCAGACUUCCAAAGUGCAUUCUGUUAAUAAGACAGUAAAGUAUAAAACCGAGUUAUCCUCUACAAGAAAAGAGAAAAAAAAAGAAGAAAAAUAAGAAGAAAGGUUGUUAUAAAACUGCAUUUGUGGUAUCCUGGCCAUUUUCUAGCUGAAUUUCCUUCCCAAUUAUUUUUUUAACCCACUGCCCUUGGUGAAUAAAAGAAAUUCUACUAGGAGAGAAAUUUUUCCCCCAAAGCUUCAAAUUUUCCUCUUAUUUUUACAGGUUAGAAGAGGUUAAGAAAUCACCAAUCAGCUGGUAACAUGCAGUACCAAUUCUCUGCAGGCCAGCAAAAGGGAUUCAGCAGCUGUUACCUUCACUUUUGCACUUAACAUAACUUUUUGUUCACCGGCAGCUAAAGAAGAUUUAUGCAGAGCACACUGGGAGGUUGCUCAGCUCCCCAAGGCAACUCCAUUAGCUUUCCCAGGAGCUAUAUUAAAUGUGUAUUAAACCAUACACACACACACACACAAUCCCUUCAGCUAAUGCACUAGUUCCAUCUUUAAACUGACAAAAGUGAGGAUACUCAUAGAAAAGGCCCAGAUGGCAUCCUUAAAUCCCUGCUUUAUGCCUCAUAAUUACAGAAUAUAGGAUAAAGUCUUGGCUUCUCUGAGUUUCACUCAAAUUCUUCUUUGGUUCAUCCAAAGCAGAUCGCCAAGGACACUGCAUUUGUAAGACACUGUGCUCUGUGUGUGUGUUUUUGAGUGGGAGGGCUUCUAAAAGGCAGAUUAAAGAAAAAGAGGAAAGGAUAACAUCUCUCAUUUGCACAUAAGUGUUCACUUGAGCCAUGGAACUCAUGUUGUGCUGAAUGAAUGGAACUAUGGUGUACCUUGAGAACACACACCUGAGACUCUGAAGGCUGUAUUAUGGUGGCAUUAGCAAACACUCUGGAAGGGAAGCUGUGGGAAUCAAUGCCCCAGUGCCAUUUGCUGGAGGCCUCCUACCUGCGGAGGGCUCAGGUAGCAGAGCACAGCUGGAAGCACACAUGGAGAAUGAGCAGCUGUAACCCUGGUCCAGUCCACCAGAGCCACAGCCUGGUGAAGUUCUCAAAAGAGUAAGGUGGGAUUUAACAGCAAAUGCUUAUCUCACCUCUGCACUCUGAUAACUGAGAGAAUGUUUUGCUGUAUUCCCUGGGAUGAUUGUAAAAUUUAUCAUAAUACACAUCCUAUUGAACUUACUGUGUUCUGAGGAGCUUUGGAACAAUUUUAUGUGCAUUUCAGUUUCUGAAGGACCCUACUCAUUCCCUGAAAAAGUUGCUCUCAAACAGAAGCCACCACUGAGGUUGCUGACUGAUGCCAUUGGCAUGAUGUCACUUUCCUUCAGGCUUCAAGCAUAUGAAUAGUCCCAGCAUGACCCCUGCUUUCCAACAAGCCCUGCCGAUCGCUGAAUGAUAACAAGACUGAGGAUUUACAGUGGAUUCAAGGUGCUUCUCUGCUCUGGAAUUCCUUCUGACUCGUCAAAGAGAUGACAAACAAGUCCCUUACUCCUGAGGUGUCACACACAACUUCAAGGAGCAUAAAUAUUCAGUUGCAUUUCCUCUAUCGGCAGUUUGCUGUGUGGUGUAUCACAGCCAUGAAUGUGGCAUAUCAUUCACUGCACCUUUCUCAGGCCUCUGAAUAAGGUCCAGUUCUCUGGUGAGGAAAGUUCUGGGAUGUUCUUCCAUGUUCUGAUGGCCUUCAAUUGAAAAUGAGCUUUUUUAAUGAACUAAGUGAACCAGUGAAUAGAGUCUAGUUCUGCAUUAUCCUUCUGAUUUUUUAUUCCAUAUGGAUUUCUGCAUGUCUGGCCCUUUUCUCUUUUCGACAGUCAUAAAACUCUCUUGAGAUAAUAGGGUUUCUUCUCAGUGCUGUCUCAACAUUUUUAGUUUUCUGUAUGUUACCAAUUUUAUACUAAAGGAACCUCAGAACAUUGUUGGUGUUGGCAAUGGAAAAAUUAAGGUUUUGGCAAUUUUGUGAGGUAGCUGGGUCUUGGCCCACAGGAAGGUCUCAUGAUUUAGGACUGUUGAACAAGCACAUUACUGAGAGUUUUCUAUUACAGUUAUAAGCACGUAGCUAAUAGUGCUGACAUUUGCAUGGUAUGUAACUGCUGAAAUCCAAGCCAGAAAAAGAUACUGACUUAGAAAGGAUCAUAAAAUAACUCCAGGCCACCUUCCAUGGCUGGUGCUCCACAUUUGUCUCCACAGAAGACAGUAUGUAAAGUCUGUGUAAACCCUGUUGUGUUAACAUCAUGUUGGAAAGAACUGCAGGUGUGGUGAUACCAUGGUUCUGCUUACAGUGUUUGUAGUGUAUAGCUGCAGAAGAAUGAUGAGUUUAGCUCUUGAGAUACUGCUGUAUGCAGAGUGAAAUGGGUGGGAAUUGGCCAGUCUUCAGAGUGGUGGUGAAGGAGGGGGACAAAUGUUGACUCACCUUGAAUGCAAAUGUAGAUGCUCACCCAAAAAUCUGCUAGCCAAAAAGUUGUCUCCUAUUGUGCUGUAGAUUUUAUCUUACAUUAUGUUUUAUCUUAUGCUAUAACUGUGCUGUAGGUUUCUGAUGAAGAUUGAGCCACUAACUUACAAUUAAAUAAACUUCAGUUUCCAACUAAAAUGUUUGAUUUCUUUUGCAGAGUCAUAAAUAGAAAUUCGCCCUCUGCAAAAAAAAUCACUAUUACCAAAAUACAGCUUUCUAAAUUCAUAUCACCAUGAAGACCUUUGGUAGUUUGUAAAUUAGGAGCAAAAUAUAGAACUUAAAUGUUUCAAAAAACCCCAACUUAUUGAAAGCAUUCACUUCUAUUAAUCAUGUUAUAUAAUGGGCUGAAUCAAGAUGCUGUAUUUAUUUCACUCCAGAGGAAAGAUCUCCAUAACUCAACUGCAUCUUUGCCACUCAUGAAUUAUCAAGUCUUGCUUCACUUGUGGGAUAAAUAUAUCUCAGUUAUGUAUGCUCUUCUUUCCUCUCAGUGUAUCUAUAUAUUUUUAGUGUCAAUUUUUAUUUAUAUGCAUAUACCUGCAACGCUCACAGUGGAGAUUGUUACUUUGCAAUAAGUCCAAGCAAAUCAAUUUGGUCUACAGACACAAUUUAUUUUCCUACUGCAGCAUUCUCCAGUAUCAUUGCAGGAGUUGCCUCCACAGCCUUCACUUUAACUGUUAAAGUGGGUCACAUGGCAAAAGAUGUGAGGGGGUCUAGCAUUUGAUCAAGUUGACAGGGAGUGUCAGGUUCCUGCUGUUAGCUGCAACGCCAGCAUGAUGACACGUAUUUGAUGUCGUUUCAAUGCAGAUUCUGACACAGGCCAAUUUAUGGUCCAAUUUAUGUCUUGACUCUCAUACCAAGGCCAAGCAAGCUAUAAAAUGUAAUAAGAAUUUCUUCAAUCAAUGUCCAGAGGAAAAACAAAUCACUUGGUUACUGACACAAUAUUGCAUCAACA